UACGUAGGGGCCGAGCGUUGUCCGGAGUUAUUGGGCGUAAAGCGCGCGCAGGCGGCCUCGCGCGCCCGACGUGAAAGCCCCCGGCUUAACCGGGGAGGGUCGUUGGGGACGGCGGGGCUUGAGGGCGGGAGAGGGUGGUGGAAUUCCCGGUGUAGUGGUGAAAUGCGUAGAUAUCGAGAGGAACACCUGCGGCGAAGGCGGGUUGCUGGGCUGACACUGACGCUGAAGCGCGAAAGCUAGGGGAGCGAACGGG
rnacentral:rRNA from 1 species